UACGUAGGGGGCAAGCGUUGUCCGGAUUUAUUGGGCGUAAAGAGCGUGUAGGCGGCCAGGUAGGUCUGGUGUGAAAACUCGAGGCUUAACCUCGAGAUGUCAUCGGAAACCAUUUGGCUAGAGUCCGGAAGAGGAGGGUGGAAUUCCUGGUGUAGCGGUGAAAUGCGCAGAUAUCAGGAAGAACACCAAUGGCGAAAGCAGCUCUCUGGGACGGUACUGACGCUGAGACGCGAAAGCGUGGGGAGCGAACAGG
rnacentral:rRNA from 1 species